CUCGGUAGUUUGGAGGAUUACUGAGCAGAGCACAUCACAAGAAGGACCCACCUUCUUAUGCGCCUGCGGGACCAUACGUUGCCUGAGUGAAUGCCACUGUCCUUGCCCUGAGGUAUGUAAGAUGCUACCGGAGAAUGGCUCAGGUGGGAGGUCCCUCACUGCCUUCCCAGCGUCUUCUCCCCCCCCCGUCCUAAAGGCAGGCCGCCCUCGUUCUCCUCUAGAUCAUCCAUCGGGCCCACAGAGCCUCUUCAACCACUGAGACCAGUUAUUUUGCAAAUCCCACUCUUGUGAAGCUCUUGGAUGCUUUCCCCCCUGAGAGUAGAAAAGCAGAACUCA